GACGAACGCUGGCGGCGUGCUUAACACAUGCAAGUCGAGCGGAAAGGCCUGCUUUCCCUUGUGGAUUGCGGGUACUCGAGUGGCGAACGGGUGAGUAACACGUGAGUGAUCUGCCCCCAACUUGGGUAUAAGCCUGGGAAACUGGGUCUAAUUCCCGAUAGGACUGCAGGGUGGUGCCUGUGUUGGAAAACGAUUUUCUAGUGGUUGUGGAUGAGCUCUCGGCCUAUCAGCUUGUUGGUGGGGUAAUGGCCUACCAAGGCGGCGACGGGUAGCCGGCCUGAGAGGGUGGACGGCCACAUUGGGGCUGAGGUACGGCCCAGACUCCUACGGGAGGCAGCAGUGGGGAAUAUUGCACAAUGGGCGGAAGCCUGAUGCAGCGACGCCGCGUGGGGGAUGACGGCCUUCGGGUUGUAAACUCCUUUCGACCGCGAGGAAGCCACCUGGUGGGAAGGGUGGUGACGGUAGUGGUAGAAGAAGCACCGGAUAACUACGU
rnacentral:rRNA from 1 species